rnacentral:rRNA from 1 species
ACGAACGCUGGCGGCACGCUUAACACAUGCAAGUCGAACGAGAGAAGAGAAGCUUGCUUUUCUGAUCUAGUGGCGGACGGGUGAGUAACACGUGAGCAAUCUGCCUUUCAGAGGGGGAUACCGAUUGGAAACGAUCGUUAAUACCGCAUAACAUAAUUGAACCGCAUGAUUUGAUUAUCAAAGAUUUAUCGCUGAAAGAUGAACUCGCGUCUGAUUAGCUAGUUGGUAAGGUAACGGCUUACCAAGGCGACGAUCAGUAGCCGGACUGAGAGGUUGAUCGGCCACAUUGGGACUGAGACACGGCCCAGACUCCUACGGGAGGCAGCAGUGGGGAAUAUUGCACAAUGGAGGAAACUCUGAUGCAGCGAUGCCGCGUGAGGGAAGAAGGUUUUAGGAUUGUAAACCUCUGUCUUCAGGGACGAAAAAAGACGGUACCUGAGGAGGAAGCUCCGGCUAACUACGUGCCAGCAGCCGCGGUAAUACGUAGGGAGCGAGCGUUGUCCGGAAUUACUGGGUGUAAAGGGAGCGUAGGCGGGAUCGCAAGUCAGAUGUGAAAACUAUGGGCUUAACCCAUAAACUGCAUUUGAAACUGUGGUUCUUGAGUGAAGUAGAGGUAAGCGGAAUUCCUAGUGUAGCGGUGAAAUGCGUAGAUAUUAGGAGGAACAUCAGUGGCGAAGGCGGCUUACUGGGCUUUAACUGACGCUGAGGCUCGAAAGCGUGGGGAGCAAACAGGAUUAGAUACCCUGGUAGUCCACGCCGUAAACGAUGAUUACUAGGUGUGGGGGGACUGACCCCUUCCGUGCCGCAGCAAACGCAAUAAGUAAUCCACCUGGGGAGUACGACCGCAAGGUUGAAACUCAAAGGAAUUGACGGGGGCCCGCACAAGCAGUGGAGUAUGUGGAUUAAUUCGAAGCAACGCAAAGAACCUUACCAGGUCUUGACAUCGUAUGCAUAGCUCAGAGAUGAGUGAAAUCUCUUCGGAGACAUAUAGACAGGUGGUGCAUGGUUGUCGUCAGCUCGUGUCGUGAGAUGUUGGGUUAAGUCCCGCAACGAGCGCAACCCUUACUGUUAGUUGCUACGCAAGAGCACUCUAGCAGGACUGCCGUUGACAAAACGGAGGAAGGUGGGGAUGACGUCAAAUCAUCAUGCCCCUUAUGACCUGGGCCUCACACGUACUACAAUGGCUGUCAACAGAGGGAUGCAAAGCCGCGAGGUGGAGCGAACCCCUAAAAGCAGUCUUAGUUCGGAUUGUAGGCUGCAACCCGCCUACAUGAAGUCGGAAUUGCUAGUAAUCGCAGAUCAGCAUGCUGCGGUGAAUACGUUCCCGGGCCUUGUACACACCGCCCGUCACGCCAUGGGAGUCGGUAACACCCGAAGCCUGUAGUCUAACCGCAAGGAGGACGCAGUCGAAGGUGGGAUUGAUGACUGGGGUG